rnacentral:rRNA from 1 species
AUGCCGCUCUCCAACUCUACGUCGUCUGUGCCGGCCGUCACCGUCCCGGCGGCCGAGGAGCUCCUCCGACAAGGGCUCCGGCCGGAGUUGCUGCCGCGGCAUGUGGCGCUGGUGAUGGACGGGAACUCUCGGUGGGCGGUAGCGCGGGGCCUGCCGCCGACGGACGGGCACGAGCACGGGAUGCGCGCGCUGGAGAAGACGGUGCGGCUCUCCCGCGCCUGGGGAAUCCGCGUGCUCACUGCCUUCGGCUUCUCGCUCGAGAACUGGAACCGCGCAAAGGUGGAGGUUGACUUCUUGAUGGCGUUGAUCGAGAGGUUUAUCAACGGCAACCUCGACGACUUCUUGAGGGAAGGGACCCGUCUACGUAUAAUUGGUGACCGCUCAAGGCUGCCGAUCUCUGUGCAGAAGACCGCACGAGAUGCCGAGGAGGCAACAAGGAACAACUCGCACCUCGAUCUAGUCCUAGCCAUGAGCUAUAGCGGGCGAAUGGACAUUGUGCAGGCAUGCCGGAAUCUCGCCCAGAAGGUGGACGCCAAGCUGCUCAGGCCGGAGGACAUCGACGAGUCGCUGUUCGCCGACGAGCUACAGACGAGCGAAACAUCUUGCCCGGACCUGCUCAUCAGGACCAGCGGCGAGCUGAGGCUCAGCAACUUCCUGCUAUGGCAGUCAGCUUACUCUGAGCUCUUCUUCACCGACACGCUCUGGCCUGAUUUUGGGGAGGCCCAAUAUCUCCAAGCCUUGAGGGCCUUCCAGAGCAGAGACAGGCGCUUUGGAAGAAGAAAAUAA